UUGGAGGUAGGGGCAAUAAAUCACAAUGCGGGACUUCUAGUCUUGCAAUUGGAUUGAGAACAACGUACAAUUCUUAUCGAUAAGCCAUUGGAGGGCAAGUCUGGUGCCAGCAGCCGCGGUAAUUCCAGCUCCAAUAGCGUAUAUUAACGUUGUUGCAGUUAAAAAGCUCGUAGUUGAAGUGAGGGAGUGUGUGUUCAUGAGAGCUAGUCUCGAGUGUUCACAACCUCCCCCCUCCAAUCGGUGUAGUGGGGUAUUCAGUUAUUCUACUACUCCUUUGGUCGUUUACUGUGAGAAAAUUAGAGUGUUCAAAGCGGGCGUUUGUUUGAAUAGAUUAGCAUGGAAUAAUGAUUGAAGGCUUUCGUGUUCGAUUUGAUUGGUUUGUUCAUGGAAGUCAAGGUUAAAAGGAACAGUUGGGGGUAUUCAUAGUCACUAGGGAGCCAAAACUGGGGUUGUG
rnacentral:rRNA from 1 species